rnacentral:rRNA from 1 species
GACGAACGCUGGCGGCGUGCCUAAUACAUGCAAGUAGAACGCUGAAGGAGGAGCUUGCUUCUCUGGAUGAGUUGCGAACGGGUGAGUAACGCGUAGGUAACCUGCCUGGUAGCGGGGGAUAACUAUUGGAAACGAUAGCUAAUACCGCAUAACAGUAGAUAUCGCAUGAUAUCUACUUGAAAGGUGCAAUUGCCUCACUACCAGAUGGACCUGCGUUGUAUUAGCUAGUUGGUGAGGUAACGGCUCACCAAGGCGACGAUACAUAGCCGACCUGAGAGGGUGAUCGGCCACACUGGGACUGAGACACGGCCCAGACUCCUACGGGAGGCAGCAGUAGGGAAUCUUCGGCAAUGGACGGAAGUCUGACCGAGCAACGCCGCGUGAGUGAAGAAGGGUUUCGGAUCGUAAAGCUCUGUUGUAAGAGAAGAACGAGUGUGAGAGUGGAAAGUUCACACUGUGACGGUAUCUUACCAGAAAGGGACGGCUAACUACGUG